UACAGCCACAUCACGUUGAAAUACAGGUUCUCAUACGAUCGCUGAAGUUAAGCAGCAUCGAGCCUAGCCAGUACCCAGAGGGGUGAACGCCUAGGAAUUCUACUUAAUGU